rnacentral:rRNA from 1 species
UACGGAGGGGGCAAGCGUUGUUCGGAUUUAUUGGGUGUAAAGGGUGUGUAGGCUGCAUAGUAAGUUAGAUGUGAAAUCUCUGAGCUCAACUCAGAAACUGCAUUUGAUACUGCUAAGCUAGAGUACCAAAGAGGCAUAUGGAAUUCUCGGUGUAAGAGUGAUAUCUGCAGAUAUCGAGAAGAACACCAUUGGCGAAGGCGAUAUGCUGGGUGGAUACUGACGCUGAAACACGAAAGCUAGGGGAGCGAACGGG